AUUCCGUGAUGCGGACACUUUCUUAUCAAUUCUUUGAAUCUCUCCCACGCCUCAUAUAGAGAUUCAUUAUCCAGUUGGUAGAAGUUGUUGAUCUCCCCCCUUAGCUU